AGAGCGAACGCUGGCGGCAGGCCUAAUACAUGCAAGUCGAACGCACCUUCGGGUGAGUGGCGGACGGGUGAGUAACACGUGGGAACGUGCCUUUUGGUUCGGAAUAAUCCGGGGAAACCUGGCCUAAUACCGGAUAAGCCCUUCGGGGGAAAGAUUUAUCGCCAUUAGAGCGGCCCGCGUCUGAUUAGCUAGUUGGUGGGGUAAAGGCCCACCAAGGCUACGAUCAGUAGCUGGUCUGAGAGGAUGAUCAGCCACACUGGGACUGAGACACGGCCCAGACUCCUACGGGAGGCAGCAGUAGGGAAUCUUGCGCAAUGGGCGAAAGCCUGACGCAGCCAUGCCGCGUGAAUGAUGAAGGUCUUAGGAUUGUAAAAUUCUUUCAGCGGGGAAGAUAAUGACUGUACCCGCAGAAGAAGCUCCGGCUAACUUCGUGCCAGCAGCCGC
rnacentral:rRNA from 1 species